GGUUAAUUUUAUUGACAGAAACUUUCACGGAUAACUAGUUAGCUAGUUGUUUUUAAUGACAGUUGAAACUUGUUCAUACUGUUAGAGCUGGCAGGCUUAGGAAUCCCCCGUGAGCAGUGCUCAUCAGCGGUGGUCUACUGUUACACCUGAAAGCAAAUAUGAAAUGUUUAAUUUUAUUCAUCAGUUAAGUGAAAGAGCUGUAGUAUAUUCAGCAGCUCAUCAGAUGGUGAAAUUUCUUGGAAUAUCACCAACAAAGAAAAUACAAACAAUUGCAGAGGAUUAAGCAUGAAUCGUGAUGAUAAAUUAUUUAUAGUAGUAAG
rnacentral:sRNA from 2 species